rnacentral:rRNA from 1 species
UGGGGAAUCUUGCGCAAUGCGCGAAAGCGUGACGCAGCAACGCCGCGUGGGGGAAGAAGGCCUUCGGGUUGUAAACCCCUUUCAGGAGGGACGAAGGUCGGGCGGUGAAUAGCCGACCCGACUGACGGUACCUCCAGAAGAAGCCCCGGCUAACUACGUGCCAGCAGCCGCGGUAAUACGUAGGGGGCAAGCGUUGUCCGGAAUUAUUGGGCGUAAAGAGCGUGUAGGCGGUCCGGUAAGUCGGCUGUGAAAGUCCAGGGCUCAACCCUGGGAUGCCGGUCGAUACUGCCGGACUAGAGUUCGGAAGAGGCGAGUGGAAUUCCCGGUGUAGCGGUGAAAUGCGCAGAUAUCGGGAGGAACACCUAUGGCGAAGGCAGCUCGCUGGGACGUUACUGACGCUGAGACGCGAAAGCGUGGGGAGCAAACAG